rnacentral:tRNA from 1 species
GGUUAUGGCUCAGUGGUAGAGUAUUUGCCUAGCAUGAGCAAGGCACUGGGUUCAACCCUCAGCACCA